rnacentral:rRNA from 1 species
UACGUAGGGGGCAAGCGUUGUCCGGAAUCAUUGGGCGUAAAGCGCGUGUAGGCGGUCCGGUAAGUCCGCUGUGAAAGUCGGGGGCUCAACCCUCGGAUGCCGGUGGAUACUGUCGGGCUUGAGUACGGAAGAGGCGAGUGGAAUUCCUGGUGUAGCGGUGAAAUGCGCAGAUAUCAGGAGGAACACCGAUGGCGAAGGCAGCUCGCUGGGACGGUACUGACGCUGAGACGCGAAAGCGUGGGGAGCAAACAGG